rnacentral:rRNA from 1 species
UGGGGAUUUAAAGAAGCCUUGCUCUUAUGAAGUUAGCGGCGGACGGGUGAGUAACACGUGGGUAACCUGCCCAUAAGACUGGGAUAACUCCGGGAAACCGGGGCUAAUACCGGAUAACAUUUUGAACCGCAUGGUUCGAAAUUGAAAGGCGGCUUCGGCUGUCACUUAUGGAUGGACCCGCGUCGCAUUAGCUAGUUGGUGAGGUAACGGCUCACCAAGGCAACGAUGCGUAGCCGACCUGAGAGGGUGAUCGGCCACACUGGGACUGAGACACGGCCCAGACUCCUACGGGAGGCAGCAGUAGGGAAUCUUCCGCAAUGGACGAAAGUCUGACGGAGCAACGCCGCGUGAGUGAUGAAGGCUUUCGGGUCGUAAAACUCUGUUGUUAGGGAAGAACAAGUGCUAGUUGAAUAAGCUGGCACCUUGACGGUACCUAACCAGAAAGCCACGGCUAACUACGUGCCAGCAGCCGCGGUAAUACGUAGGUGGCAAGCGUUAUCCGGAAUUAUUGGGCGUAAAGCGCGCGCAGGUGGUUUCUUAAGUCUGAUGUG